rnacentral:SRP_RNA from 1 species
CCAUACCAGCCGGGGAAUUAGCGGUGCCCUGUACCUGAGAUCCGCUAUAGCAGGGGUGCAUUCCUUUCCCGAGGGUCGAUCGUUUACGGUCUUGUGCGCGAUUUUCUUGUGUUGACGAAUGGGUCUUGCGCAAUUCGGACCUGUGAACCAUGUCAGGUGGGGAACCAAGCAGCAUUAAGCAGUCAUUCGGGUGUGCCGCAGGGUUGCCUGUUCCGAGCAAGGGAUCGUGAUGUCGCGUGGGCGUGACAUUCGACGGAGAGGUGUAUGG